GACGAACGCUGGCGGCGUGCUUAACACAUGCAAGUCGAACGAUGACGACCGAGCUUGCUCGGUCUGAUUAGUGGCGAACGGGUGAGUAACACGUGAGCAACCUGCCCUUCACUCUGGGAUAACCUCGGGAAAUCGGGGCUAAUACCGGAUAUGAGCUCCUGUCGCAUGGCGGGUGUUGGAAAGUUUUUCGGUGAAGGAUGGGCUCGCGGCCUAUCAGUUUGUUGGUGAGGUAGUGGCUCACCAAGGCGAUGACGGGUAGCCGGCCUGAGAGGGCGACCGGCCACACUGGGACUGAGACACGGCCCAGACUCCUACGGGAGGCAGCAGUGGGGAAUAUUGCACAAUGGGCGAAAGCCUGAUGCAGCGACGCCGCGUGAGGGAUGACGGCCUUCGGGUUGUAAACCUCUUUCAGCAGGAAAGAAGCGAAAGUGACGGUACCUGCAGAAGAAGCGCCGGCUAACUACGUG
rnacentral:rRNA from 1 species